rnacentral:rRNA from 1 species
AUUGAACGCUGGCGGAAUGCUUUACACAUGCAAGUCGAACGGCAGCACGGACUUCGGUCUGGUGGCGAGUGGCGAACGGGUGAGUAAUGUAUCGGAACGUGCCCAGUCGUGGGGGAUAACGUAGUGAAAAUUACGCUAAUACCGCAUACGAUCUAUGGAUGAAAGCGGGGGAUCGCAAGACCUCGCGCGAUUGGAGCGGCCGAUAUCAGAUUAGGUAGGUGGUGGGGUAAAGGCCCACCAAGCCAACGAUCUGUAGCUGGUCUGAGAGGGAGAACAGCCGCACUGGAACUGAGACACGGUCCAGACGCCUACGGGAGGCAGGAGUGGGGAAUUUUGGACAAUGGGCGAAAGCCUGAUCCAGCCAUUCCGCGUGCAGGAUGAAGGCCCUCGGGUUGUAACUGCUUUUGUACAGAACGAAAAGGUUUCUACUAAUACUAGGAGCUCAUGACGGUACUGUAAGAAUAAGCACCGGCUAACUACGUGCCAGCCGCCGCGGUAA